rnacentral:rRNA from 1 species
ACGGAAGGCAGCAGUGGGGAAUAUUGCACAAUGGGCGGAAGCCUGAUGCAGCGACGCCGCGUGAGGGAUGACGGCCUUCGGGUUGUAAACCUCUUUCGACAGGGACGAAGCGAGAGUGACGGUACCUGGAGAAGAAGCACCGGCCAACUACGUGCCAGCAGCCGCGGUAAGACGUAGGGUGCGAGCGUUGUCCGGAUUUAUUGGGCGUAAAGAGCUCGUAGGCGGCUCGUCGCGUCGACCGUGAAAACCCGCAGCUUAACUGCGGGCUUGCGGUUGAUACGGGCGGGCUAGAGUUCGGUAGGGGAGACUGGAAUUCCUGGUGUAGCGGUGAAAUGCGCAGAUAUCAGGAGGAACACCGGUGGCGAAGGCGGGUCUCUGGGCCGAUACUGACGCUGAGGAGCGAAAGCGUGGGGAGCGAACAGGAUUAGAUACCCUGGUA